UACGUAGGGGGCGAGCGUUUGUCCGGAUUUAUUGGGCGUAAAGAGCGUGUAGGCGGCCAGGUAGGUCUGCUGUGAAAACUCGAGGCUCAACCUCGAGACGCCGGUGGAAACCAUCAGACUAGAGUCCGGAAGAGGAGAGUGGAAUUCCUGGUGUAGCGGUGAAAUGCGCAGAUAUCAGGAAGAACACCCGUGGCUAAGGCGGCUCUCUAGUACGGUACUGACGCUGAGACGCGAAAGCGUGGGGAGCGAACAGG
rnacentral:rRNA from 1 species